AGUGGAUGCACUGAGUUUGUUGAAUCGGCGGAAGAGAUUUUAAGAGGAAGAUGAACCAGACGUUGCUAGCGAAUCACAGUACAUUGCUCGACUUACUUGAAAUUCCGCAGCUUAUGGAUACAUGUGUGAGGAAUGGAAAUUAUGAUGAAGCUCUUGACUUAGAGACGUUUGUUUGCAAGCUUUCAACCAUGCACCCCAAGUUGCCCGUUAUACAAGCUCUGGCUGCAGAAGUCAGGCAGACCACCCAAUCUCUUCUUUCU